AGCGAACGCUGGCGGCAGGCUUAACACAUGCAAGUCGAGCGGGCCUUUCGGGUUCAGCGGCGGACGGGUGAGUAACGCGUGGGAACGUGCCCUCUGGUUCGGAAUAACUCAGGGAAACUUGAGCUAAUACCGGAUACGCCCUUUUGGGGAAAGGCUUGCUGCCGGAGGAUCGGCCCGCGUCUGAUUGGCUCGUUGGUGAGGUAACGGCUCACCAAGGCGACGAUCAGUAGCUGGUCUGAGAGGAUGAUCAGCCACACUGGGACUGAGACACGGCCCAGACUCCUACGGGAGGCAGCAGUGGGGAAUAUUGGACAAUGGGCGCAAGCCUGAUCCAGCCAUGCCGCGUGAGUGAUGAAGGCCUUAGGGUUGUAAAGCUCUUUUAUCCGGGACGAUAAUGACGGUACCGGAGGAAUAAGCCCCGGCUAACUUCGUG
rnacentral:rRNA from 1 species